CAAUGAUUUAGUUUGGCUUGUGUGUUACCCUAGUGUGGUCCAUUAUCCAUCAAUGAUUUAGUUUGGCUUGUGAAUCAUCAAAGUGUGAUCUAUUAUCCAUGAAUUAUUAUGGCUUAUGAAUCACCAAACUAUGAUACAUUAUCCAUUAAUUAUUCACUAUUGCUUCCACAAUGUGAUCUAUUGUUCAUUACUGAUUUACUAUAACUUGUGAAGCCUUUUUUCAUAAUUGACAUAAAAACACAAUGCAACUUUUUAAUCAGGGACUGGCAGAAAAAACAUACAAGUUUUGUUAUGAUGUGUAUUUUUUUUUUUAAUUUAUAGACAAA
rnacentral:lncRNA from 1 species